ACCUGAAGUUUAUAUCAUAAGCAUUCAAUUAAUGGAAAUAUAUAUAGUCACCAAAAAGCAUUUCAUAAUAACUCAAAAGAUCCAACAAGAGUAAUGCAAAUGUUGAAGAUUGAGGAUCCUUGUUGGCAAGUGGCAAGGUCCCUUUAAGAUGCCUAUACUAGACCAAGAUAGUGAACCUGAAACUAAGCAUUUGUCAAGCAUCUCAACAUUCUAACUCCAUCCAUGAUUCAUAUAUAACCAAGCUAAGCUGAUCCUAACUGCAAAACUCAUUCGAUAAGGAGGACAGCUUGAUUCAAGUCAAGAGCAACACAAUAAUCCAUCUGCAACAAAAUUUGACCACCUUGUAUGAUCCACACCUACUGACAUGACCUAAACAUGGAAAGAUUAACAUACCAACCUUAACAUGAAAUGUUUCAUGUUAAACCAAUCAUUCAACUGGUUAAUUCAGGCUAAUCUAUAUCAGAUCAAGUUUCAAAAAUCAAAUCCAGCCAAUUCAUUAAUUAAUACAAUUUUGGAUCAGUCAAACCUGAACCUUAAGAUGCUUUGUUUCUCAAAAUCCAACAAUUCAAGGCCCCAAAAUCAACUGACAUCAGUCAGUUCCAGGGUGAGAAGAAAAAGAGGUAGCUCUACAUUUCACUUUGUGCAAUACUUAUCAUGCUGUGGCAGGACAGCAUAUAGGAGCUAGCAGCAAGCAUGCUUUUAACAGCGGGCAUCUGAUCAACAAAGAAAAUCUUUGGAGACCAACUUGUUUGAGAUACUCAGUGAACUAUCAGUUAUGCAAAAUGAACACAGAACUCUGACAUGGCACCAAAAUGGAGAAAUGAUUUAUGUAACAAUCAUUUUAGAAUUGGUUGCAACUGAACAAGACAACAGACCAGC
rnacentral:lncRNA from 1 species